rnacentral:lncRNA from 1 species
GCAUGGUGAAAGUUUGAAGAUUUUGAGUAGAAACUCAAAAGGGUGUUGGCUAAAUGAGUUUGUGAAAUGCAUUGGGUGAUUAUUAGUUUUGCAUGGAUUUGAUUGCAUUGUUUUAGUGUUAUGGGUUUUGAUUUCUUUGCUAGUGACAACAAAAUUGGUUCAAGCUCAGUGUGCAAUUUGCUUGCUUCGGAAAGUGCACGCCCAAUCAUUCCAAUAAUAAGACACUGCUCAUCUCUUCUAAUGAGUUUAAUUUGUAUG